CUAUGUGUUGUUGGGUAGGGGAGCGUUCUGUAAGCCUGUGAAGGUGGCCUGUGAGGGUUGCUGGAGGUAUCAGAAGUGCGAAUGCUGACAUAAGUAACGAUAAAGCGGGUGAAAAGCCCGCUCGCCGGAAGACCAAGGGUUCCUGUCCAACGUUAAUCGGGGCAGGGUGAGUCGACCCCUAAGGCGAGGCCGAAAGGCGUAGUCGAUGGGAAACAGGUUAAUAUUCCUGUACUUGGUGUUACUGCGAAGGGGGGACGGAGAAGGCUAUGUUGGCCGGGCGACGGUUGUCCCGGUUUAAGCGUGUAGGCUGGUUUUCCAGGCAAAUCCGGAAAACCAAGGCUGAGGCGUGAUGACGAGGCACUACGGUGCUGAAGCAACAAAUGCCCUGCUUCCAGGAAAAGCCUCUAAGCAUCAGGUAACAUCAAAUCGUACCCCAAACCGACACAGGUGGUCAGGUAGAGAAUACCAAGGCGCUUGAGAGAACUCGGGUGAAGGAACUAGGCAAAAUGGUGCCGUAACUUCGGGAGAAGGCACGCUGAUAUGUAGGUGAAGUCCCUCGCGGAUGGAGCUGAAAUCAGUCGAAGAUACCAGCUGGCUGCAACUGUUUAUUAAAAACACAGCACUGUGCAAACACGAAAGUGGACGUAUACGGUGUGACGCCUGCCCGGUGCCGGAAGGUUAAUUGAUGGGGUUAGCGGUAACGCGAAGCUCUUGAUCGAAGCCCCGGUAAACGGCGGCCGUAACUAUAACGGUCCUAAGGUAGCGAAAUUCCUUGUCGGGUAAGUUCCGACCUGCACGAAUGGCGUAAUGAUGGCCAGGCUGUCUCCACCCGAGACUCAGUGAAAUUGAACUCGCUGUGAAGAUGCAGUGUACCCGCGGCAAGACGGAAAGACCCCGUGAACCUUUACUAUAGCUUGACACUGAACAUUGAGCCUUGAUGUGUAGGAUAGGUGGGAGGCUUUGAAGUGUGGACGCCAGUCUGCAUGGAGCCGACCUUGAAAUACCACCCUUUAAUGU
rnacentral:rRNA from 1 species